UUCUCAAGUCCACCUGGUUGAAGACGUGUCCCCAUGAACCAAACACUGGCCCAGUCCUUGACAUGAGGUAAAGGACUGAAGGAGGAGUGAAGGUUGUUGGUUCAGGUCUGGUUUGCUCUGCUCUCAGGUCAGAGACCUUGAGGCAGCGACACUUGGUUCAAUGAGAAGAAGUGAGAAGAUGAGAAGAUCUUUGUUCCUCAUGGAAAGUGAAAACAUCUCUGUUGGAGGGUUUGGAUCCGUGCAGGAGGAACCUGUCAGCAAGUCGUUAUUUAUUUAUUAUUCCUCUAAAAGUGUGUGGACAGUGUCUCCGGGCCGGACUCGUCCCUCAAGCGCGUGGCGGUGGUGGAGGACUUCUUCUCCAUCAUCUUCUCCAUGCACGUGGAGAUCAGCAGCGAUCCGGCCAAAGCUCCCAAACACGCCGGCCAGAAGAAAACCUACAAAGCUAUUGCAGAGACGUACGCCUUCCUGCCCAGAGAGGCGGUGACCCACUUCCUGAUGAGCUGUGGCGAGUGUCAGAAGAGGAUGCACAUCAGCUCCACAGGACCAGACUUCAGAGACGGAGAGGUUCAUGCAGCAGCUCACAGACUUCGCGGGGGAACAGGGGAUGAGCUCCGCUCCUCUGAGGAACCUGAUGAAGAGCGUCCUCCUGGUGCCGCAGGGAGAGUCUGGAUCUGGAGAACCGGACCAGGUGGAAACAUAGAAGAGAAGAUAGGUUCUGAAAGUGAACCUCGUUGUGGACGUAGCUUUAGUAGAAACUCUCUGAAGACAGAACCUGGUUCAUCUCCUGCUGUCCAACUCAAAGGUCGAGGACAAACGAUCAGUGAUCAGGAGGAAGAAGAGAGAAGCUUCAUGCUCAGUGGUUCUGCUCAGGUUCCCACAGCACCCAGAACCUCACAGCUGGGACAGGUCAGGUCUAGAUCCAGUAAAGUGUCCCACAGCACUCAGAACCUCACAGCUGGGACAGGUCAGGUCCAGAUCCAGUAAAGUGUCCCACAGCAGUCAGAACCUCUCAGCUGGGACAGGUCAGGUCCAGAUCCAGUUCCAGUAAAGGGUCCCACAGCACUCAGAACCUCACAGCUGGGACAGGUCAGGUCCAGAUCCAGUAAAGUGUCCCACAGCACCCAGAACCUCUCAGCUGGGACAGGUCAGGUCCAGAUCCAGUUCCAGUAAAGGGUCCCACAGCACUCAGAACCUCUCAGCUGGGACAGGUCAGGUCCAGAUCCAGUAAAGUGUCCCACAGUGACUCAGAUUCUUCUGCUCUGUCCCAGGAGCCCUGAAGAAGAACCUGGCAGCUGAGCUGAUCGGAGAGGACCUGGUCACGUUAGGACUCAGCGAGGACAAGGCGUCUCACUUCUCACAGCAGUGGGCGGAGCACCAGGAGGCGCUGUCCCGACAGGCGGUCAGUCAGGCGCUGAUGG